UAUGGCUGACAUCAUUGUUGAAAAAGUAUUCAGUUUUACGCUACAUCCCAGGUAGAACAAAAAAUCGUAAUAAUAUAAUUAUAUCAAAAAAAAGUUAUUUUAAGACAAAUCAAGAUGAUGUCAUUCGAUAUAGUUUUCGUGAUGGUUUGAUGAUGUUUUUUUUGAUAUUGAAAUAAUGUUAUGGUGACUUUUAGAACUGCAUUAAAAUAGAAAGUCACAAUAAUAUCAAAGUGACGUCAAAAUGACAAGAAAAUGAUCUAAUCAUGAUUAUAAAGAAAAUCUACAGUUUACAUUACACAUAAGAUUCCUGAGGAUAAUAACGUCAUUAAACCUCAAAGAUUCUUAAAUAUCGCAUAUGGGGCAUUCCAUAUGAAGUGAUACACCCAAAUUUUCAAAGUUGUACGAUUAUGCUGAAAUUUGCACAAAUUGUAGUCCUAUCACAACUAAGAUUUUUGGCCAAAUUGUUUGACUCACGACCAACGAGUUGUCUAGUAAUAGAGGCUUGAAGUUUUAACAUUUGGGCCGUUGUGUCCAACUUCAAACGCCGGUAAGUUCCAGUAGACUAUUCCGAUUUUCAAAAACAAGGAGUGAUUUCUAAAGGUCUUUUUGCGCCCUUUAAUCCUAUGAAAUCAGUUUUGUUUUUAAGUCAAAAUUUAUUUAAAAGUUUUGAAGGAUAAGAAAGAAAUUGUUUUUUCUCAAAUUCAGACAUCUUUGAUUUUCUUCGAAAAUAUCUUUAAAAAAAGUAGAAUUCUUGCCCUUUAAAAUGAUUCCAAGAUCAAAAUGGGCAGACUUUUAGUUUUCAAGAUACAGUUUGUUUUAGGACCGAGCGCGUCACGCACGGUGCAGCUCGGCCGCUGUUGCAAGUGCCACGGAUGAUCCGAUCAGUUCUAUUGCUUGUGGCCA